rnacentral:lncRNA from 1 species
GGGGCGUCGGUUUCGGUCCCGCCCGGCUGCGGCCGUUGUUUGCUGGGACAGUCCUUGGGCCGGUCUCCGUCCCUGUCCAGAGGCUCCGUACGUGAGGCGGACUCUCGGGAGCACCGAGCCGGGCGCGGAUAAGGAACGGGGGCAGAAAAGGAGGACCAGGGGCCGAGAAGCCGCUCUGGCUACGAAAUCUCAGACACCGUUGUAAAUGGGUCCUUCACAGCCGCCCGCCCCACGUUAAAACUGAAGAAGAGAUGCAAGGAGGCGGAAGCAGCUUGGGCCUCGGGACCGAGGGUCCUGUGAUCAGCAAGGGAGGACCAGAGAGGCUCAUGCCUCCGUUUUACAGGGCAUUUGCAGUUCACACCCAGUUAGUACGUGAGGACUGCAGUGAGUGUGGAAAUUUCAAGUCUUGCCCAGUCUUCUAUUCUUCCCCUCAGCUCAGCCUUCUCGACCCUCCACCUUCCCCAAAAAAGGAGCACAAAGGAGCAAGCAGGGGUCACGCCUUUCCUCACAGUCUGACCCGGGUGAGUAGGGGUCUUGUCUCAUCUCCCUCGACUUCUCCAUGGACUGUGGGAGUAGCUGAAGUGGCUGUGGGGACGGAGGGAGCAGACUGA